AGCUUUGCACAGUGGCAGUAUUGUAGCAGUGAGUUAUCCGAGCGCAUUAUUGCUAUUUGAAACUUUCCAGUACCCACCAUGACGACUUGAAAUAAAGUCAUCACUGGCAAUUUUGACAGUCCUCUUAUGGG
rnacentral:snRNA from 1 species